AACGCGAAGAACCUUACCCGGGCUUGAACUACGGAUGGUAAGUCCCAAGAAACUGGGGCUGACCCGCAAGGGAGUCCGCAGAGGUGCUGCAUGGUUGUCGUCAGCUCGUGUCGUGAGAUGUUGGGUUAAGUCCCGCAACGAGCGCAACCCCUACUCGAUGUUGCUAAUCCCGCAAGGGAUGCACUCUUCGAGAACUGCCUUCGAUAAGAAGGAGGAAGGUGGGGACGACGUCAAAUCCUCAUGGCCCUUAUGUCCGGGGCUACACACGUGUUACAAUGGCCGGUACAAUGGGAAGCAAUACCGCAAGGUGGAGCCAAACCCACAAAGCCGGCCCCAGUUCAGAUUGUGGGCUGCAACUCGCCCACAUGAAGGCGGAAUCGCUAGUAAUCGCUGAUCAGCAGGCAGCGGUGAAUACGUUCCCGGGCCUUGUA
rnacentral:rRNA from 2 species